CAAGAGCGGAAUCAAGGCUGUCAGCAUAUGCUGGCUAAAUCGUCAUGGUGUGACAACUGCAUAAUGUAUUUGACAUAUCCAGUGUAUUCGGCGCAUUUUUCAUGCAUCAGCAUAUGCUGGCUAAA